rnacentral:lncRNA from 1 species
ACUCCUAUCGUACCCUCUGGACUUCUCCAAUAAUGAGCUCCUUCAGUCAUCUAUCGGACUGCUCCAAAUACUCUCUGGGCUUCACUAUCAGUCAAUUUUCUAUAGUGAUCGACUACUCUCCAAAUCUCUUCCAGACUUCCUCCUGUCACGAUCGACUUUACUCCGAGCUUCUUCCGGACUUCGUCAAUGUCCGAGCCUCUCCAGCAGUAGGACUUCUAUAGUAACUAGACUCCAUCCAAGUUUCUACAGUGAUCGACUGCCUUCCGAACUUCAACC